GGCCCUUUCUACAGCGGGGGCGGGGCGCGCCGGGCCAGCCCCGCCUCUCGCCUGAUACCCGGGCGGAGGGAGGGCGCAGUAGCAGGGCAGGGCAGGGCAGAGGAGGGACAGAACAGCCGCACCCAGCCAUCGCCGAGUGCAGAGCAGGCCAGCUUGGGGGGAGGGCCAGGCACAGUGCGGGUAAAGAAGGUGCCGGCGUCCGGUCCCGCAAGAGGGCGGGCUGGAGUGCGGGGGGAUGGGUGCGCCUUGCUCACGCUCCCAGGGUGGGAUGACCGAAGUGCUGGCGCCCAGGUUGUAAAGUGAGGCCCCCAACCCCGCAUCUAUGCUGGCAGUGGCCCGGAAACUACCGAUCCGGUUUAUUAAUAGCCGUCGGGGAAGAGGGACCCGCAGCAGCAGCAACUCCAUCCCAAGACUCUUACACUUUGCCAGGGAUGAAGAGCGACCCACAAUCGGAUCUGCACAUUUUUCCAAGAGAUCAGAUGUGACAAUGCGGUGAAGCAGCCAAAUUCCUGACUUUUGUCCAAGUCCCGCUACUCAGAGAUCCCAGGCCCCAGGCCCUGUGGCCUUUUGGCUGCCAAAGGGCCAGGACAGAGUGACAGUAGCAAACCAUCUUCCUAAUUGUCUUUUGAAUGAAACUGUGACUUGUUGUGACAAGGGCUGGACAGGAGUCAGUGACUUAUGGAGACAGAGCUCAGCCUGGGGAGCCCCCUUCCCAGGGCUUAUUAGCUCUGCUAGGUCAUAGCCCUUGUUUUCUUAUCUAGAAAAACUGGAAUCAUGUUACCUGCUCAACCUAUCAGGGGCUUUGGGAGAAUCAAUGGAAAGGAAAAUAUAGAGCCAAAAAAGCAUUAUAUAAAUUUCAAGCAUUAAAAUAAUCUCACCCCCCUCUUUACACACGUGGAGACUUGCAAACUUUUCCAGCCCCAGUUUCCUUAUCAAUAAAAUGGAGCUUAUCCCAUGGGCUGUGCCAGAUUUGUGAAUAAGAUAAUAGAUGUACAAAUUAUUAUGUAAAUACAAAGUACUUUACAAAGAUGAAAUUGUACUUUAUGUAGGAUCUUAUAGUCUAAAGGUGUUUAUGUGAAGAGUCAGAAACCUUGAAAUGUGGAAAUGGUCUAUGAUGAUCCACAGACCCUCCCCCCAUUGCUUCAGCAACCGGCAAGUACAAAAUAGUCCAGCUUGAUUUUAAGCCCUAUGUGCCAUGACAUACAAAAAACAUUGCAAGAAGUAAUCUCGAAAAAAAACACACACACAUCCAGUUUCCAACAACUGAUUCUCUAUAAAUUAAAACGUAUUUUGUCUCCCAUGGCAGACCCUCUGGAUAUUUUAAGUCCGUAUACCUCUGAUGAAAACUUGGUAUUCAAAUCUGAGUUACAAAAUGCCGGGAUCCUGCCUCUUUUCUUCCCAGUUUCAGCAAAGUGUGAUAAUGACUCGCAGAAAACGGAAAUUCAAGUGAUCUAGCAAAGGGAUCCCAGCAAAAAAAGCCCAGCUUGGGAGAAAGCCCCUAAUGCCUUCUUUUUGGCCUCCACUCCUCCCCGGUCUGUUUCCUUCCUUCUUCUGGUGUCGAGGUCACUCUCCAUCCCCCAGCUUCUUGACUCCUGUUCUUUCACAUUUCUUAAACACUAUAAGAAAAAGAUGGCUCAUGCACCUGCUUGCAAAACUUCCCAAACCGGGCCUUCUCGGCUCCCGCAGGGCCGGAAGAACAACUCACGCCCACCCGGGUAACUCCUGAACGGAAAGGUCCGGAGCCAGAGCUCCAGGCCCUUGGAAUCACCCCACCACCGCCCCCCCGGCUUCAGCCAAUCAAGGAAUAUUAUGCAAAUAAGCCUUCGUGCCCCAGCCAGUCAGGAGCCACGGCCCCCUCCCCCCAGCGUCCUCUUUCACCCCAGCCGAGCCGAAGUGGCGGCGGCGUCUCUGGCAACCGGAGCGCCGCCAAUUUUCCCCUCCAAUUGCGCCUGGAAAAAAAAAAUUGGUUCCUUGGGGUCACCUGGGAGGGGAGCGGGCGGGUCUGGCCCGGCCGGAGGCGAAGAGCCUCUGCGGUUGCCCUAGGCGUUUUCCCAGUUACAAUCCGGAACAGGCUGGAGAUGCUGAGCAACCUGCCCAGGCCUCAUUUUGCCUCUGGAAAACAGAAGUCGUCUGGUAAAUUUUGCCGCAAACACACAAACAAAAGGAACACUGUGAUGAAUAUGAAAGGAAGUAUGCUGCGGUAGCCUGAAGCUUUAAAUCAGGCCUAUCGCAUAUUAGUCUCUGGAUAUACUGUCGGUGUGGCUGAGGAAGCCAAAGCCACCGUGACGUCUGUCACUACUGAUCACAGCCAGGACGAGGCCCAUUCUUCUAGAGACAAUAAACACUAAACACAUUUUGGAAAAUAAAUGAAAGAAAUAUUCAUAUUACUAUCAUUAUUUAAUACUAAUAUUAUAUUUAUUUAACCAUUUAGGUUCUAAGUUCUAUAAAAAGCAAAACACUAUCAACACCCUAUCACUAUAGAUAGUAUCCCUGCCCAUAGGACAUUUUCUAUUCUGUUUAGAUAAGGCAGACGGAUGUAUUAGAACUGUAUCUCACACAUUCAAUCAGUAGGCCAUAAUGAUUCAUAAAUAGAGAGUUCACUGAAAAUUAGGACCUCCCAGCCUCUGAAAACGCCUUUGGAGUUCCAAGGAUUUGCAAGUAUGCAUCUAAGAGAGUAUUUUGGACUGGACAUACGACUGAAUGCUAGAAAAUGUGGGUUACCUUUCAGAAAAGGAAUUUCCACCACGCCCUGUCCGAUAAAUGAACCUAGACUGAACGUGGCUUUGGGGAGAGACAAGGGGUGAGUUUCACUCCAUCCAACAUUUUCCCUCAGUCACUGACAGAUUCUGAGAUAAGUCACAUCCUGAAUAUGGUUAGCGCUGUUGUGUCGCUGCUUUCUCCAGGGAAGGCAAGGACCAGUGCAUCCACUGAGCACUCAGCAGAUCAUGGGAAGGAAGCAUCUGUUACAGAGAUGCGCCCAGUGAGAUGGUUUGGAGCCUCUCUUCUUAACCCUAGAUCACCCUCUCAUUAAGGGCUGGUGCUUGCCUGAUCUCCGGCUCAUCGAUUUGAGAGUCAUUUUGUACUGCGGCUGCAAGGGGAAAAUAGACAUGUUCGAAGUUAUUCACUUCAUUAUCCUGCGUCUCAGCCGUUUCACCUAAAAAGCUAAAAGAAUCAGAGGAAGAAUACUUAGCCCAAAGUGGCUGUAAAAAAGUAGUGAACACAAAUAUUUUAAAAAAUACUUUUAAGUAAAUAAUCAUAAAAAUAAUCAUUUACAUCUACAGAAAAAUGUAUACUAGGUCAUGCUUUGUAAAUCACUUUGUAUACAUUACACAGGACGUUAAAAUCUCCAAGCCAACCUACAUAGUGUACAAUACUUUAUAAGUAAUAAAUAACUAAUACCAAGAGCAGAGUAGCUUAAAAAUUAACUCGAUAGCUGACAUUAUUUUAAAUGAAUAGAAAAUCAUUCUUUUAGCAAUUUAACAUUGGCACCAAUACCCCAGAAAGACAGACGAUUUGACCUUAGCUUUAAAGUUGUCUUCAUUGUUAAUUUCCAUAAAAACCUUAACAUUUGUCUAAUUAUAGGGUUCUGCAUUCAUUGAUCUCACUAAUUCAACUGUUUUAUCUGACUGCCUCUCCUGAAUUGAUAAAUCUAAAUUGCACAUUUUCUAAACUGCUAAGCUCAGGAGAAAUCUUGAAGGUGGCCCAAAUGGCUGUUGGAUCUUUUGCACCCGUCUAGCACCAUCUACUGUAACUUUGUAAUAUUGGACUUAUCGUUCUUUUCUCAAAACCGUGAUGUUCAGAUUCCUUUACUCUGUCCUGGCAAUACACAGUCCACCAAAGUUGUAUAUUCAUAGUUAAACUGAAAACCAAGCAAUUUGGUGGCAAAACAUAUAAUAAGGAAUGUUUUGCCAUUAAAAUGAGUUUUAUUCAUCCAAUUGCCUUUUAUUAUCAAGGAAAGUCAAUAUUGUAUAAUCAUAAUUUUUUUAUAGCAAGGAAUUUAAAUUUCAUGGCACUGUUCAGUUUUAUCAUCAAGGAAUAGGUUUCUCAGAUCUGGGUUAUCUUUAAGUCUGUUGCGCCAUAAGCUAUAUUUCCACUAGAAAUCUUUCUAAAAGGAGUGAGUAGUUAUCUAUGAAAGAAACUGUGGAGCCCUGGCAAUUGCUUUGUCCUGGGAGAAUGUGUUCACAUGAUUCACACAACUUACUGUUUUAUCAUUUAUCUACCUCCCUGGAAAUAGCAGGACAUAAAGAGAAUGAAAUCAAUAUUCUUUUCUACUUACCUAGCACAAGUGGAUACUUACUUGGGGUCAAUAGUCCUUUUUGAGAGUUUUACAUAAUGUUCAAAAAUACCUCUACUCCAGGUAGGGAAAGGCUGGAGGAUGGAACGAUGGGAGAAAAUGUAGAGUGAGCCGUAUUUAUUACCAAGGUCCUGGCUUUCGUUUGGGGCUGUGGAUUUGCAGGUGAUCAUUACAUUUUUCAAACUAACCAAAUAAACAGUAAAAAAAAAAAAAAAAACUAAUUGAAAUAGACCAGGAAUGGACCAGUAAUAGAGUCCAUUGUGGACCAAGGAUUAUGAUAAAUACAAUUUCUUGCUCCCACAAUCCAAAGUGAAAGGAAAAUAUUCCUACUUUGGUUUGAAUAUUAGAAACCAAAGACCUUCUGCCUAGUGAGUUUUUGACAAGUGAGGCAACAUCCCGAGUCAGAUCCUCAAGACUAGUUAGGAUUUUCCUAACUAGUUUCUUGAUCUUUAAAGGAGUUUCCUUGUCACUAGUCUCUGUGUAGUCCACUCCUUCUUUAGGUGUUGUUGUGAUGCUGCCAACAUUAGGAGAUGGUGUGUACAUCAAGACACAGGUACAAGAAGGUUCCUAGCAGCGCUAUUCAUGAUGGCCACCAACUAGAAACAAUCCAGAUAGCCAUCAACAAUAGGAUGGAAAAAUGUGAUAUAUUUACACUCAGACAUACUCUAGAGCAAUGAAAAUGAAUGAACACAGCAACGUGGGCGAGUCUCACAAAUACAACACAAUGUAAGAAGCCAGACACACGAAAGAAUAUAUACGAAAUUAUAGCAUUUAUAUAAAGUUCUCAAAACAAGCAAAAUUAAACUAUGUUUAAGGAGUGCAUGCCUAGGUAGUAAAAUUAUUUUAAAAAGCAAUGGUGUCAUUACCAUAACAGUCAGGUUAGUGGUUACCCUUAAGGGAGUGAUAGAGUGACUAGGAGGACACAUGAGGAGAGGCCUCUGAGGCACUGGUAACAUUCUGCUUCCUGGGUGCUGGUUUGUUAGGUGUUUGCCUUAUAAUAAUUCCCUUAGCUAUACUUAUGAUUUAUACACUUCUCUGAAUUUGUUGUAUUUCACAGUUACAAAAAGAGUUUAAAGACAAAUAAUGAAAAUCCUGCUGUGUAUCUCCAUGGCCCACCCAUUUCCUCAUCUUAUUAAUUAGAGCUCCUCAUAUCUGCUCCCAGCUCCUGGCCUUGUCUGGUCCCCUCUUUUCCUCAUCGUGUAAUUCAUGUUCUGACCAUAUUUUUUUUUAAAUAAAUUUAUUUAUUUAUUUUUGGUUGUGUUGGGUCAUCAUUGCUGCACGCGGGCUUUUCUCUAGUUGCGGUGAGCGGGGGCUACCCUUCGUUGUGGUGCGCAGGCUUCUCACUGCGGUGGCUUCUCUUGUUGCGGAGCACGGGCUAUAGGCACGCGGGCUUCAGUAGUUGUGGCACGUGGGCUCAGUAGUUGUGGCUCGCGGGCUCUAGAGUGCAGGCUCAGUAGUUGUGGUGCAUGGGCUUAGUUGCUCCACGGCAGGUGGGAUCUUCGCGGACUAGGGCUCGAACCCAUGUCCCCUGCAUUGGCAGGCGGAUUCUCAACCACUGCGCCACCAGGGAAGCCCAUGUUCUGACCAUAUUAUGCUCUUCCGUGACUUUGUACUUUUUCCACCUCUAUGCCUAAAUGCACCUCUUUUCCCAACCCCAUUCCCACCCAUUGAAUUCAAACCCAUCUUUCAAGGCAUAGCCAAACCAAGACUUCCUUUAGGAAAGAAUCCCUGAACUCCUUGGUCAAAGUAGUAUCUUCUGCCUCUGAAUUCUCAUUUCCAUUUGAGCCUCUCUUACAGCAACUACUAUAUUCUUCUUGGCUUGUUAGGGUGUGUGUGUGUGUGUGUGUGUGUGUGUGUGUGUGUGUGUGUCUGUGUCCUCUUUGUUCAUAAGCAAAACAGUUUUGAGGACAGUAGGUGCUCAAUAAAUGUAAAAUAAAUUCAUUCUUCAAUAGAUGAGUGAGAAUGAUUAUCUGUUUAGCCGCUUGGAACCUAAAAUACCUUUGCAGAAGCUUGUCUAAGGAAAAGGGGUCAUUGUUUGUUAUGGGCGCCCUGAAGAAUAACUCAAGCCCUACAGUAGAGUUUAUGAGAGUUGGGUUGCACCACUCUGGGAACUGGCCUGCAGCCCCCAACUAGGUUACACAGGUCAUUCUGUGCUGUUGGCCCUGGGGUAAGUGACCCGAAUCAGUUUUGUGGAACAUAUCUGGAAGGCUUGAGAAGCCCCUGGAUAAUUCCUAAUGCAUAUAUCAAGACACCCUGUCUGCACGUGAGUGAACAUUUAGGGAGAUCACACAUAGAGCCAUGACUUUGUGAGCACGUGUAUAAGCGUGUGUACUGGGGUGGGCGUGUGUAAUCACUUUGGUGGAAUUCAGCAUACCUCACCCCUUCCUCCUCUCCCCAAAGUCUGUGGAUCAGUCUGAGGAGAAAAUGAAAGUGGGCAACAGAGGAGACUCUUAAGGCCACUAACAAAGCAGUUGAUGCCAUCCCUGGAUAGCUGUUUGUAUGUAUAGGAAAUUCAUAAGCUAGGCAUUUCUGAGUCAAGAAAUACCUACAUUAUGAGUAUGUAUGUUUAUGUGUAUGUGUUGUGGCCUAUAUUUGAGAAACUGUGCACUAGCAAAUCAGCAUCUCUAGUUUGGUUGCUUCAGAGAAUCAUGCAAAAAUAACUCGAGUGUCACCAGAUUUUGAAGGUGGGCUUGUAGUAAUACAAAUGUUGACUUUGGUAGAACUUAAAGCUAAACAGAAAAAACCAAAACGAUGAACCAUUUAGAGAAGAUUCUGGAGGACUUUCCUUGGGUGACUUUGAAAGGCACAGAAAGUAUCUUUGGAUGAUAAAUCCUGUUAAUCUGUUUAGUUCCAGUCAGA